rnacentral:misc_RNA from 1 species
ACCUGUUACGACUCAACUUGUCCUAUCGCCUCCUUACGGUUAGGCUAACUACUCUGGUGUUCCACUCCCAUUGCGGUGGGACGACAGGGGCGGUGUGUACACAUUCCGGGAACGGGGAGCCAUUCGAUCCGUGAUUACCAGCGAUUCCCGCCCUUCACGCAGGCCGAGUGACUGCACACGACUGGCUCACGCCGGGCUGGCUGACCAUUGCAGCGACGUGAAGCCCUGGCCUAAGUGGGCCAUGAUUGACGUCAUCCUCCUCCGGCUUGUCACGUCGAGCGCUCCUCGUAGCAAUUCAAUGACAAGGGUUGCGCUGUUGCGGGAUUUAACCCAAUCUUCAUGAUUACGAGCUGACGACAGCCAUGUAUACCUGGGUCCAAGUAGUGAGACUCUACCUUCUGAGGCCCCAGACAGAUGUCAGGUACAGGUUUUUCGCGUUGCAUCGAAUUCAUCCGCUUGCGGUCCCCGUCGGCUCCCUGAGUUUUAAUCUUGCGACCGCCUGGGGAGCAUGGCCGCAAGAUUAAAAACUCAAAGGAAUUGACGGGGACCCGCACAAGCGGUGGAUGAUGUGGAUUAAUUCGAUGCAACGCGAAAAAAACCUUACCUACCCUUGACAUGUCUGAAUCCCGAAGAGAUUUGGGAGUGCUCGCAAGAGAACCGGAACACAGGUGCUGCAUGGCUGUCGUCAGCUCGUGUCGUGAGAUGUUGGGUUAAGUCCCGCAACGAGCGCAACCCUUGUCAUUAGUUGCUACGAAAGGGCACUCUAAUGAGACUGCCGGUGACAAACCGGAGGAAGGUGGGGAUGACGUCAAGUCCUCAUGGCCCUUAUGGGUAGCUUCACACGUCAUACAAUGGUCGGGACAGAGUGGUCGCCAACCCGCGAGGGGGAGCCAAUCCCAGAAACCCGAUCGUAGUCCGGAUCGCAGUCUGCAACUCGACUGCGCAAAGUCGGAAUCGUCAGGUGGUAAUCGCGGAUCAGCAUGUCGCGGUGAAUACGUUCCCGGGUCUUGUACACACCGCCCGUCACACAUGGGAGUGGGUUUCCACCAGAAGUAGUUAGCCUAACCGUAAGGAGGGCGAUUACCACGGUAGGAUUCAUGACUGGGGUGAAGUCGUAACAAGGUAG